AUUUUUGAGUUAAAAACAGUGAAACAAUCAAUUUUUCGGCUAUAUUGAGGCUUUUGCGAGAGUACGGCGGUCUUUGAUAUCCCUAAGGAGAUGCAAUAUCGCUAGCGAACAACUCGUCUAUCUGUGGCGAGAGAGACAAAUGAAGUGUCCUUUCACCCUCGGCAAUAAAAUCCCUGCUCUUGGAGGCUUGGAGAGACCAUAUUUCACCAGUGGCGAGUGUGACAUGUACCACAUUGCAUCGUUGCAGGCCGGCGAGGAAGACAACUGGAGUAGGCCUUUCCAACUUCGGCGAGCAAGCACUUGACUCGAAAAGAAGCUCAAAGAGUCUGGAUAACAGACCGAGGUGUCAUACAAGAUGCGGAGCCACUCCUUCACCAACUAUUGCACUUGAUUUCUUGAUAGUCUUGAAGUUCAUCAAUGGCGGCUCCCAUGGUGAUUAGGACCUUCAACCAACAAUUGAGGAUGGCAUCAAAUGUGGAGACGUCAUAUAGACUUGGAAAAGUAUUUAGACGCGUCAGCAACAAAGCCUAGUUUACGAUCAUCUUCAUGAUUUAGGCUUUUGUA